rnacentral:rRNA from 1 species
GACGAACGCUGGCGGCGUGCUUAACACAUGCAAGUCGAACGGUAAGGCCCUUCGGGGUACACGAGUGGCGAACGGGUGAGUAACACGUGGGUGAUCUGCCCCGCACUUCGGGAUAAGCCUGGGAAACUGGGUCUAAUACCGGAUAGGACCACUGCCUGCAUGGGUGGUGGUGGAAAGCUUUUGCGGUGUGGGAUGGGCCCGCGGCCUAUCAGCUUGUUGGUGGGGUGAUGGCCUACCAAGGCGACGACGGGUAGCCGGCCUGAGAGGGUGACCGGCCACACUGGGACUGAGAUCCGGCCCAGACUCCUACGGGAGGCAGCAGUGGGGAAUAUUGAUCAAUGGGCGCAAGCCUGAUGCAGCGACGCCGCGUGAGGGAUGACGGCCUUCGGGUUGUAAACCUCUUUCAGCACCGACGAAGCGCAAGUGACGGUAGGUGCAGAAGAAGGACCGGCCAACUACGUGCCAGCAGCCGCCGUAA